rnacentral:lncRNA from 1 species
UUUUCUUAAAAGAUUUAUUUUAGAAGGCUUAGGGUUUUGGAUAGCUGCUUAGUGAGGCACACAGUCCACACAGGUGUCUUCAGAGCAUCAAGUGCCCCUAGCAAAGUUACCAGAAAAGAGGAAUCUGCUUGGUUCCUUCGUAAAAUAAGAUCAGACCACUAUGAAGACCAGCUUCCAAGCCGCUGCCUAGUGCUCUUCAGAUCAAUUUCCAAAUUCAUAAAUUUAUUUACGUAAUAGAGCCUGUAUCUCAGCUGCUACUUUUCUGUUGUUGUUUUCCUUCCCACUCUUGCUCAGAGGAUCAAGUUAAGUGUCAAGAAAAAUUACAUUCUUUGUGCUUUGAAGCAUUACAGGAUAGUAAAAUUUCUGCUACCACAGGAAUAUGAACUCACAUGGAAAAGAAACAUAACAGGCAACAAAAUAUCAUGUUCUGCACUGUCUUUGAAUCACUGUAUCGGCAAUUGUCAAACCAAUGCAGCCACUCCAGUCAAAUUUGGAACCCAGUCAUUUUUUUUAGAGACUAUUUGAAGUUUCAAGCAAUGGUAAAGCUCUUGUGUGGGAGCUGCAUGAUGUGCUUCAUGCUGUCAGACAUGAUGCUGUCACAACUGAGAUGCUCUGCCAUUUCAUGUGUCAUCUUCUUGUUACGGUUUCACAGCAAUCCCUCUGUGAGUCCCAAGAUCACCACCUCCAAAAAUUGAUAUAUUUCACUGGUUUUGCACCAACACAGCACAUUUUUCAUUUCAUAAAACUUCCAUUUGUAUAGAUUCAAGUAUUUUGUUCCAGGAAGCUCUUGAAUUCCUCAGCUUACCCAGGGAAUGGUAAUGACACCAGCAGUACAGCCCCUCCUCACGGUUCAGUGAAUGAUAGUGAGAAGUCAGGUCCAUGAGAGGCUUUCCUGGCUCCCUGCCAAAUAAAUGUGGUUUCUCAGUCCCUUCUCCCCCAGAAGGGCCAAAUAUUAGUUUGUGAUGCAGGAUGAUGUUUAAGGCAUUACAGACAGAACUGAAAGGACUAAUUUCAGUUAACGUCUUUCCACAAUGAGGUGAAAAAAAAAAA